rnacentral:rRNA from 1 species
CCCAGGCUUGAACAGCGAGUGACAAACUACGAAAGUGGUCUUCCGCAAGGACACUCGUAGAGGUGCUGCAUGGCUGUCGUCAGCUCGUGUCGUGAGAUGUUGGGUUAAGUCCCGCAACGAGCGCAACCCUUGUCUUCUGUUGCCAUCAGGUCAAGCUGGGCACUCUGGAGAGACUGCCGGUGAUAAACCGGAGGAAGGUGGGGAUGACGUCAAGUCAGCAUGGCCUUUAUGUCUGGGGCUACACACGUGCUACAAUGGCAGGUACAAACCGUCGCGAGACCGCAAGGUGGAGCUAAUCGGAGAAAGCCUGUCUCAGUUCGGAUUGUAGGCUGCAACUCGCCUGCAUGAAGUUGGAAUCGCUAGUAAUCGCGGAUCAGCACGCCGCGGUGAAUACGUUCCC